AGUCUCCUGAAGGAACGUUGAAGACGACGACGUUGAUAGGCCGGGUGUGUAAGCGCAGCGAUGCGUUGAGCUAACCGGUACUAAUGAACCGUGAGGCUUAACCUUACAACGUCGAAG
rnacentral:rRNA from 1 species